GACACUGAUUUACACAGAAUUGACUUUGAAUUAUUUAUGGAAAUUGGAGAAAAUGCAAUUAAAAUCGUUGUAAUAAGUAGAAUAAAAUUUACGCAUUUAUGUUUGGCUAAUAAUCAAUGUGCACUUUUUAGAACUACAUAACCCACAUACGAUGCGAUAACGUCACUUAUGCAAAUUUUUCAGAAGUAACGUUGGAAAAUUCAGCAGCUUAUUAUAGUUCUGCCUUCGAUCAACAAUAGUAACUAGAUUUCGGGUCGGUGCAUAAAAUCCGUCUCGUCAAAUAACAGCUCACUUGAAAUGUGAGCUGUUAUUUUGUUUAGUUCACUUCAAACACAGCCAAUGUUAACCCGUCUCACAAUACCGCAGUGUGUAUUCAAAAGUUGCAAAAAUAAGGCCCGAAAAAGCAAUUUAACGGCCGGAGUAUCUUACUUUCGCUUUCCUAGCAAUCACGUGUGCAGAAUGGAUCUCGAUUGUCGCCAGAGAAACAAGAGAUGACUUUUAUAAGCCAGCUAAGAUCUCCGCUCAUUGACACUGGACAUCUUUGCCUUCCGUGCUCACGACUACUGAAACGUGGCCGAAACAUUGUAAUAAAAAUACCGCGCUUGAAACCGUUUAAA